GGCAGUGUAGCAUAGUGGUAAGGAGUAAGGCUUAUAACCAAAAGGCUGUUGGUUCAAUCCCCACUGGAGCAC